rnacentral:rRNA from 1 species
GAUGAACGCUAGCUACAGGCUUAACACAUGCAAGUCGAGGGGUUUCGAAGAGCUUGCUCCGAGAGACGACCGGCGCACGGGUGAGUAACGCGUAUCCAACCUGCCCUUCAUAUUGGGAUAGCCUUCCGAAAGGGAGAUUAAUACCGAAUAACAUGAGAAGAUUGCAUGAACCUCUCAUGAAAGCUCCGGCGAUGAAGGAUGGGGAUGCGUUCCAUUAGGUAGUAGGCGGGGUAACGGCCCACCUAGCCGACGAUGGAAAGGGGUUCUGAGAGGAAGGUCCCCCACACUGGAACUGAGACACGGUCCAGACUCCUACGGGAGGCAGCAGAGAGGAAUAUUGGUCAAUGGGCGCAAGCCUGAACCAGCCAAGUAGCGUGAAGGAUGACUGCCCUAUGGGUUGUAAACUUCUUUUAUACGGGAACAAACCUUGGUACGCGUACCAAAUUGCGUGUACCGUAUGAAUAAGCAUCGGCUAACUCCGUGCCAGCCGCCGCCGUAACAC